CAUGGGGUUCCUGCGGGCCUUCAUUUUCAAGCAGUUUAAUAUAUACAUAUGCUGUGAUAACUGAUAUACCGGUAUACAUAUAAUUUAUAUACUACAUUUCAUUAUAGAGCGUUUGCUCGCUCUCCCUCAUUCCGCCCCUCGCCAGUCGCUAUUUUGCUUUGUAAACACAAAAUAAGGCUACUUCUAAUGUCAGUAGAACAAAAGCUGGUGGCUGAGGCUGCUUUGUUGGCUUGGGACGCGAGUUCUCGCGCUGCUGACCGCUCGUUGACCAGCUCGGCGACGCUGCUGCUGAGACGUCAGCUGAAGCCAGCUAUCACAUGAGACUUACAACUGUGCCUCAUAAAUGCUCAGCUGUGCUUUUAAUGUUUUAAUGGUAAAAAACGCCAUACAUUCAACAUCACGUUCAGCACGACCGUUGUCGCGCCUCACGGAAGUCCACAGGUUAGUCCACAGGUUAAAAUGAAGACGGGAGGCUUUAAACCUGCAGCCUGGAUUGCCCGCCCGGCCAUAUGUCACAACCCCGUGUGUGUGUAUGUGUACUUGCAGGAUCCUCCGCCAUGCUCUUGAGGACGAUUCUAGGAGCCAUUCGAGGGUGAGUCCAUGGGAAAUAUGUUUGAGGAGAUGCCGUAGAUGCAGGUAGAUGCAGGUCCCCAGCGGCUGCAACCCUGGCGCAAGAUGGUUCGCAACCCCUUCACUCACGUUGUGUUCGCUAGUCAGAGCCCCAGCCUUCAAGAGAUGACUGUUUGCUGCCUCCCUUACUAGUGCUGUAUGGUAUGUAUGUCUAUAUCACUUCCUGGUACCUCUAGUCCGUGUCACAUACCCGCCUGCUGCCACACGCCCCUUCCCCCAGGUCGGCUGGCUGGACUGCCGCCACACCUCCAACAUUGUGUUUAGCAACGGUGAGUGUCCGCAUCACCAGUGGGCAUACACACCGAAACACAUACAGGCCCGCUUCAUGAGAUAGGUCCGGUGCACUACCAAGCACUCUGUUCUUGGCCGGCAGCCUUGCAUUGGCAUUGGCACCUUGCGGCAGGAGUGCAGGGUGUGUUCACAUGUGUGCACGCGUGCAUGCAGGUGCAGCCAGUGGAGGCAGAACUACAGGAGCUAGCAUGACACGAGCUGUCCGGCACUAGAGUUGGAGACAGGUGCGGUGGCACCAGUGGCGGCUGCUGUGGAGGCGGGUGAUGUGCCGACUGCAAUGGAGGCGGGUGUCAAGGUGGUGGGAGACGUCAUGCCCAGCAGACACGCCAGUGGUUGUUGUUGCACGUUUGACACAUUCAUACCAUUUAGACAUCAUAUGACAGGCUUGGGUUAAUAGCACAGACGUAAUAUAGUGUUGUAGACAGUGGCAGACCAGGAGAGCAAGACUGUGGUGGGCUUUGAAUGCACGGAGACUCAGCUGGAGAGUGCCAAGGAGUAGGGAAGCAGAGGGCUAACUGAGUAUGGUGUUGUUGGUGAGUUGGACUGGGAACAUAAGGCAGGUGACCUCCUCGCUGCCCUGCCGCCGUUGGUCUCUUGGGCACGAGGUGAAGUACAUUGAUGCAGUCAGUGGAAUGCAGUAGUAUUGGUGCGUGGGGGCAGUUGACAUGGGUUGGGCACUUGGUACAAAAUGCAGCAGGCUGAUGUGUGUGGUCACUGCUAGGGCGGGGCUUGUAUAUCAAGGCGGCAUCAUGUAAAGGAGACACUUUACAGGCCACAAUGAACAACCCUAAACCCAGGCUGGCAGGCGGGCUGGGCGGGGGCUGGGCGGCA
rnacentral:lncRNA from 1 species